UCCAUGAGACUAUCCACGUCAGAUGGGAAAAUCAGCCAAUCAGAUUUGAGAAUUAGUCCACAUCAGUCACUUACGUCUUGCGCUUCCUAUUCUUAUCUCUUCUCCUUUACUUCAUCUUUAAGAAGUUUGUAAAUGGCUAAACUGAAACCUCUCCGCUUCUCCUAUCUUCCCCUACAUAUCUCAUUCUGAUUUAUGAUUCUCCCCACUCGGCCACUCCAUAGAUCCGUUGAAAGCUACGGCACCGCUCCGGCUUUUCUGUUCAUCACUUACCGGCUUGUGAGAGGUGAAGCUGAUCUUCAGGGUCAUUCAUUUAUGACAUCUCGCACCCGUGGUUCUUAAAAUGGAGCUUGCAAACUAAUGGAGCUUACUAUGAUACUUUGCAGGCUUCUCACCUACCCACAUCUACUAGGUGCAGGAGAAGCUAGAUCUCUUACAUAAUUCGAUCCUUAAUUGCUUAUGGGGAUUGAUAUGGUUCUGGUAAACUGAGAAGUCCACGCUAAUUAAGGGACCAGCUGUUUGUGUCUGUGUUUUUGAUGGUCUGGUCUCAGCUGUUGAGACAAUGGUGUUCGUCGCAACUAACAUCAAUUAUAAGUUUGUCGAAGGUCGUAUCUUCCUAAACAGUAUGACAAAAACACAUUUUUACUUAGCUCUGCUUCUAUGCAGUUACUUUAAGCUUUACUAAAGGUCAACUAGCAAACUCACCAGUACUGGUUGUCUAACACAAACUCAUACGUCUUCUGGGGUGAUGAAAACCUACACCAGGUGAUAACAUGGUCUCCACUUUUGGACACGUUCUGCAGCAGCAUAAAGCUAGAGCUGGAGCUGGUGUACAAAGUCCAAAUGCAAUGCCAUGAGGAUGCAAUUUUCCCAGAAAUAGUGAGGUCAUGACCUUUAGUGCUCGCUGAAGGCACCAUCGUCCAUUUUUUUUGUAAAGGAAUCUACUCGAAAGGACAGGUUAGUUCCAUAACAUUAUGUACAACACUUCAUCAGUCAACGUGGUUUCAAAACAAAAAUUAGUCGGUCUCAGAGCAUUUGGGUUGACGUUUGUGAAUGUUGCGGUGAGUGUUGCAGCCAAACCUUUGUGAAAAGCCUAGAGAUUUUGAAAUGACUUAAACAAAGCAGAUGACUGACGUUUCUUCUGCACUGUGCUCUAUAUUUUUGUUUCUUUUCUACAGUCAGUAAUUUUAAAGUUCUAAGGAUUCUAUCUAUCUUUAAACUAUAUUGCUUGUGAUGUUUAUGCUGCAGUUGCUUUUAUUGAUGUUUUGGCAGUAAUAUGUAUUUGAGACUGUUUCCUUUUCAGUUGACUAUUUGUUAGUUUCUGACUUUGUAUUUCAGUUUUUAGUUGACGAUUCAUGGUAAA